rnacentral:rRNA from 1 species
AUUGAGCGCCGGCGGAAUGCUUUACACAUGCAAGUCGAGCGGCAGCACGGGGGCAACCCUGGUGGCGAGCGGCGAACGGGUGAGUAAUACAUCGGAACAUGCCCAGUCGUGGGGGAUAACACUUCGAAAGAAGUGCUAAUACCGCAUACGUCCUGAGGGAGAAAGCGGGGGAUCUUCGGACCUCGCGCGAUUGGAGUGGCCGAUGUCAGAUUAGCUAGUUGGUGGGGUAAAGGCCUACCAAGGCAGCGAUCUGUAGCUGGUCUGAGAGGAUGAUCAGCCACACUGGGACUGAGACACGGCCCAGACUCCUACGGGAGGCAGCAGUGGGGAAUUUAGGACAAUGGGGGCAACCCUGAUCCAGCCAUUCCGCGUGAGUGAAGAAGGCCUUCGGGUUGUAAAGCUCUUUCGGCAGGAACGAAACGGCGAGCUCUACAUAGCUUGCUAAUGACGGUACCUGAAGAAGAAGCACCGGCUAACUACGUGCCAGCCGCCGCCGUAAUAC